CCCUCUCUCAAUUUGUUACCCAAGAACACUAACUUACCCAAGAAAUCUGACUCAAGUGUUACCCAAGAACACUGACUCACCCAAGAAAUCUAGAAAGCUUGUUGAUGGUUUAGACUACCACUGCCAACCCAAUUUUUUUGGUGGGUUGAUCCUUCAAGAAAAAAAUUAAAUAAUUUUUACAUUGGUGUAUGAAGGUGAUGCAUUUGUUCAAUAUAAACAGACUUAUAAUUGAUGCUAAAGGGGGCUGGGUAUUUUUGUUCCUCCCUGUUAGAGUGUGUAUACAGCCUGGUAUUUUAUGUGCAAUAUAUGGGGCACAAUUUUAAAUUUUACUGUACAGAAUAUCUAAGUUGUAUUAAAGAUAAAGGCUAUGCAUUUUAA